rnacentral:rRNA from 1 species
AUAAAGUCGUAACAAGGUUUCGUAGGUGAACCUGCGGAAGGAUCAUUAUUGAAUAAACCUGGCUUGGUUGAUGCUGGUCUUUUCGGAGACAUGUGCACACCUUGUCAUCUUUAUAUCUCCACCUGUGCACCUUUUGUAGACCUGGAUUCAACUUUCCGAGGAAACUCGGUUGUGAGGAAUUNGCUUAAUAGGCUUUCCUUGUUAGUUUCCAGGGCUAUGUUUUCAUAUACACCUUAAGAAUGUAACAGAAUGUCAUUAUUAGGCUUAAUUGCCUUAUAAACUAUAUACAACUUUCAGCAACGGAUCUCUUGGCUCUCGCAUCGAUGAAGAACGCAGCGAAAUGCGAUAAGUAAUGUGAAUUGCAGAAUUCAGUGAAUCAUCGAAUCUUUGAACGCACCUUGCGCUCCUUGGUAUUCCGAGGAGCAUGCCUGUUUGAGUGUCAUUAAAUUCUCAACCUUUAUUAACUUUUUGGUUAGUAAGUGGAUUGGAAGUGGGGGCAUGUUGGUUUCUUCAUUGAAAUAAACUCCCCUGAAAUGCAUUAGCUGGUUGCCUUGUGCGAACAUGUCUAUUGGUGUGAUAAUUAUCUACGCCGUGGGCUAUUUGCCGUUUAUAGCACUGCUUAUAAUCGUCUGUUCAUUCAGACAAUAUAUGACAAUUUGACCUCAAAUCAGGUAGGACUACCCGCUGAACUUAAGCAUAUCAAUAAGCGGAGGAAAAGAAACUAACAAGGAUUCCCCUAGUAACUGCGAGUGAAGCGGGAAAAGCUCAAAAUUUAAAUUCUGGCAGUCUUUGGCUGUCCGAGUUGUAAUCUAGAGAA